rnacentral:lncRNA from 1 species
GAUUACAAAUCAUGUGACAAUUGUAUCUAUUAAGAAGUUUUCUUCCCGUUGCUUUUUUCAAAAAACUACUUUCAAAUGAAAUGUCAACAGAGCUUGCCUGUUGUUGAUGGAUUGAAAUUAUUUUCUGAGUAUAUAUUUGAAGUCUUUGGCAAUAAUAAAAAGAAUGACCCCACAUUCUUUGCAAAAUCUCAGUCUGUGAAGGUUUGUGCUUGUUAACAAUGCCAUUUCUCAUUACAAAGAGCCUUCUAUUCAGCUCUGAAUCUUCAUGUGAAGAUGAAGUGUUUCAGUGAUUGGUGAUAUGUCACCAUUGACAGUGUAACCUCAUGCUUCAGUUCCUUGCAUAUAAAGGAACUCUUUCUUUAGCAUGUAAACACCCAGUUUCUGCCCUGUCACACAAAUUCUCUACAUGUCACACCUUCUUGCUUGCUUUCCUACGUAGCUCACACUGCACACCUUCUUGCUUGCUCUCCUACAUUGCUCACAUUGAGGCACAGUCAAUGUAACCUUUCCUCAAAGCAACUGCUCAAAAAAAUUCUUUAAAAAAAAGCACACAUGUUUUCUGGCAGAGCAAGGAUGCACCACUCAAAAUAAUUUUAUUUAAUGACUGGACAUGGUUAGCUGGCUCCCCAUAAUUCAUUUUGUAAUUGGGAAAAAUGGACCACUUCUGAUAUUGUCUGAGUGCUGAUCUGGAGUGACUGAGCAGGAGUUUCCAACAAGAAACUUUUAGUUUUUCCACUUCACAACUCAGGAAGAAUUUAGGACCAGGGCAGUUAUAGACUCUAGAAGUUGUUUUCCAUUCCAGGGUUUUAGUUCAAGUUUCAGACAGGAAGGAAGCUUGAGCAUAGUUUAAUUUCCAAAACAAUGUUUUAUUUGUCAAAUCUCAUUUCCUCAUAUACAGAUUGAUACAAGUCUAAUAUCAAGCACAUUAAGCUCAGAAAAAAGAAGUUUCAGAAAUGAAAAAUAAUGAAUGAGUAAAGAAAAGUAACCACUGUAAAUUCUCCUCUGUGAGUUUCUUAAACAAAUAAGUGUUCACCUGAUUCUUUCAACUGGGGCCUUUAAUUCCUUUGAAAGUUUCCAGUGCAAAAUGUACAUGGAGUGCAUCAAUGGGUGACUGAAAGCUGUAUACUCCCAGCUGUAGUAAUAUUAUAUUUGAUCUUGGUGAUAAACAUCAUGACUUCAUAUAUACUACUAUGCAUAUGGUCAAAGAGUAUCUAGAUAUUGUUGUUUUUAAAAAAGAAAAUAUUUAUUUUUUAUAUCCUUAAAUGUGUGCCUGUAUGUCUGUGUGCACCAUGUAUGUGUGCUGUGGAGACAAGAAGAUAAUGUUGGCGUCCCUUGAAACUGAAGUUACAGACAGUUAGUUGUAGGCUACCCAAUGUGGGUGCUAGGAAUGGAACCCUGGUUUUCUAGAAGAACAAUACACUUCCUUAGCCCGUGAGCCAACUCUCCAGCCAUACAUUUUUCUUGAGAACCUAUAAGGCUCAUCUUCUUAAGAACCUAUAAUAACCUACAUUUUUGUAUCAGAGUCGAGACAUGGAAAUUUGUUGGGGGUUGAUCUAGUGCUGCCAUGUAUUCAAAUGUUAGAUACUGUCCUCCGAGAUCUGCUUACAGUUCCAUGAGCACGUUCUCAUAUAUAUAAAAUGAUGUUGUAUAAACUUUGCUUGACAAUUUUCUCUGAGUGGUUUAAUAGAAGAAGCCACAGUCAAUUACUGGGAGAAUAGAGUUAGGUGGGGCUGGGUGCCAAAUGUAAAUGCAUUUUUAAAAUUAAGUAUUUAUUGAUGUCUAUAGCUAGCUCAUAAAUAAAUGAGACUGAGACUACUAAAGUCAUUUAACCAUCUUUAGCACAAUUACUGGGCAAAUUAUCCCUACUCUAUUUUUUUUUUUUUUUUUUUUGUAUGCUAGACUGGCUACUUCUCAGCCAAGCUCCUCAAGUACUUGCUGUUUGUGUCUCACCUGGGUUAUUUUUGCUCCACAAGUCGGUCCUCAGGGGCACUUCACUCGGCCAUAUAUUUCUGGUCCAUUGAGUCUAUUAGAGACCUCCAGUUCUUUCUGUCUUCUUUCUCCUUCUCCUUCUCCUUCUCCUCCUUCUUCUUCUCUCUUCUUCCUCUAACUUUUUCCUUGUGGUCCCUACCUGAGAUCCCCAGCCUGGUAACUGAACGCCUAACUCUAUUCUUCCCAGUAAUUGGCUGUAGCUUCUUUUAUUUAAACAGUCAGAGAAGACUGGAGAGUAAAAUUUAUACAACAUCAUUUUGUUCCAUGUGCUCAUGGAACUGUGAGCAAAUCUUGGAGGACAGUUUCAUAGCAGCAUUAGACCAGCCCUCAACAGAAAUUGAUGUGUGUGUGUGUGUGUGUGUGUGUGUGCGCGCACGGUGCACACACACACACGCAAGCUCAUGCACGCACAUACCACAGACUUGAACAUGUGCAGGCCAGAGAUAAAUAUUAGGUGUCUUUCUCUCUUUACCUUUAAAAAAAUUAAUUUUUACUCUCAGAGUUUUAUACAUUUAUGCUAUGUAUUUUGAUUGUAUCCACCCUGAGUCUUUUUUUCUGACUUCUCCUGGAAUAUCCUGCUCCUUCUUCUAAUACUUCUCCUUCUCCUCUUCUUCUUUAUGACCCAAUUCAUGCUGCCCAUGUGCACAUAGAUACAGGGUAGUCUGGUGGAGGAGCAUAGGUAACUUAUGAGGUGCCGUACUUUUGAAAACAAAC